rnacentral:rRNA from 1 species
UUGCCAGCAGCCGCGCGGUAAUACCGGCAGCCCGAGUGAUGGCCGAUCUUAUUGGGCCUAAAGCGUCCGUAGCUGGCCGCGCAAGUCCAUCGGAAAAUCCACCCGCCCAACGGGUGGGCGUCCGGUGGAAACUGCGUGGCUUGGGACCGGAAGGCGCGACGGGUACGUCCGGGGUAGGAGUGAAAUCCCGUAAUCCUGGACGGACCGCCGAUGGCGAAAGCACGUCGCGAAGACGGAUCCGACAGAGAGGGACGAAAGCUAGGGUCUCGAACCGGAUUAGAUACCCUAGUGUC